ensembl:lncRNA
CAUCCAAUGAACAUGAGACAAUCUUCUAGUUUAUUUAGUCUCGCUUUAAUUUUCUUUUGAGGAAAUGGUUCAAGAAUUUAAUGAAAAUUGUUUUAACAGCUCAUCUUGCAAUCAUGAUCCAGCUUUCUGUUCUCACAUCCUAAUGUUGGAGUGAGUGCCAAAUCUGAAAGGUUUCCUCGUCCCUUGGGUCACUGUAGGACGAGACCUAAUCAGGGGUUUACUCUAAAGUCAAGCACGAUCUUAAGAUAUGAUACCAAUCCCUCUUAAGAGUUUCACACCACAGGUCAUUUCCUCCUGCCGAUCACACCAAAAUAAAAUCUUCAUGGGGAGUCGCCAUGUCUUUGUGUUGACCCCCCAAUCCCCCUGACACACACAUCCAUCCAUCUGCGUAACAGAGGAAUAACUCAUAGACUCCCCUGUUUGUGAGGAAUUUGCUCGGCUGCAGAUUAGAUUUUCAGGAAUCUGCAAUAUGAGUGACACUUUAGACAGCUGUGUUAAACAGUAAGGCACAGUGUAUGUGAUCAGCUUGCUUUGUAAAGCCACCGCUUGCUUAUUGCAUUUCCCCUGAGCCUCAGGGGAAUAUUAAUCAAAUAUUCAUACGUCCCCUGUAAAUACUUGGAGAACACAGUCAGCCCUCAGACCGCUGUGCUCUGCGACACAAAUGCUCUUUCAUGUCUGUGAAAAAAAAAAAAAAAUCCCAAAUGUCCCAUCAUCCCUCCUGCCCAUUCAACCCUUCCUCUUCACCGUACAAAGAUCUUUUUGCUCUUGCAUAUUUGAUGUUCCUGCUCUGUCCAAACAGUCAGUUGCCCAGCCACUAAAAAAAAAAAAAGAAACUUGCCACACAGAUCAGACAGUGGAUCUAAAUGAUGCCUUUAUGCACUUUGCCAUUGCUUCAGCAUGGCAGAGAACAGAUGGAUUCUUCUUUCUGUCCCUCCAUCCUAACCCUUGCCCUGUCUCCAACACAGAAGGGACAGUUUCCUCCUUAAAAAGCAUGCCUCAUCAUGAUACAAGAAUUUGUAUUGUACAGGAAAACAGUCCGGCAUAGCUCAAACUAAAGGGGCAACAGACAGAUUAUCCAUGGUAACAGAGCUUUGCACACAAGGAUAUUUUCUUUUCCUCCGCAGAGGAACACAAUUGCUGCCAGUGUCACUGGGUCACAUUUUUUCCGGUUCCUGGUUAAUGGGCUGUAGAGAUGGUUAGCACGUACGAUUAGUUUUAAUCUACUACAUUUGACUGGGAGAGAAAGGAACUGAAUACAUUUCAACACACCACUGAGGUUUGCAUGUAGCACUGAUUUUUUUUUUCUUUUUGUCCUAGGAUGGCUCAGGAUUCUUAAAGUGAACAAAAA